rnacentral:rRNA from 1 species
CUACGGGGCGCUGCAGUGGGGAAUAUUGGGCAAUGGGCGCAAGCCUGACCCAGCAACGCCGCGUGAGGGAAGAAUGUCUUCGGAUUGUAAACCUCUGUCCUUAGGGACGAAAAAAAUGACGGUACCUAAGGAGGAAGCUCCGGCUAACUACGUGCCAGCAGCCGCGGUAAUACGUAGGGAGCAAGCGUUGUCCGGAAUUAUUGGGCGUAAAGGGUGCGUAGGCGGUAAUCCAAGUCAGAUGUGAAAGACCCGGGCUUAACUCGGGAGGUGCAUUUGAAACUGGGUUACUUGAGUACAGGAGAGGUAAGUGGAAUUCCUAGUGUAGCGGUGAAAUGCGUAGAUAUUAGGAGGAACACCAGUGGCGAAGGCGACUUACUGGACUGUCACUGACGCUGAGGCACGAAAGCGUGGGGAGCAAACAGGAUUAGAUACCCUUGUAGUC